rnacentral:rRNA from 1 species
GACGAACGCUGGCGGCGUGCUUAACACAUGCAAGUCGAACGGGCCCGCCCCUGUUUUUGGGGGUGGGUUGAGUGGCGAACGGGUGAGUAUCACGUGAGUAACCUGCCCCCUGCUCCUGGAUAACUGCUUGAAAGGGCGGCUAAUACGGGGUGUGCCGGCUGGUCCGCAUGGGCCUGGUCGGGAUAGUUUCAUCUUCGGGUGUUUCGGUGGGGGAUGGGCUCGCGGCCUAUCAGCUUGUUGGUGGGGUGAUGGCCCACCAAGGCGGUGACGGGUAGCCGGCCUGAGAGGGUGGGCGGCCACACGGGGACUGAGACACGGCCCAGACUCCUGCGAGAGGCAGCAGUGGGGGGUAUUGCACAAUGGGCGGAAGCCUGAUGCAGCGACGUCGCGUGAGGGAUGGAGGCCUUCGGGUUGUGAACCUCUUUCUCCGGUGGUGAAGGCCCUGUCCGUUGCGGCGGGGUUGACGGUAGCCGGGUAUGAAGCGCCGGCUAACUACGUG